rnacentral:rRNA from 1 species
UACGGAGGGUGCAAGCGUUAUCCGGAUUCACUGGGUUUAAAGGGUGCGUAGGUGGAAUGGUAAGUCAGUGGUGAAAUCUCCAAGCUUAACUUGGAAACUGCCGUUGAUACUAUCAUUCUUGAAUAUCGUGGAGGUGAGCGGAAUAUGUCAUGUAGCGGUGAAAUGCUUAGAUAUGACAUAGGACACCGAUUGCGAAGGCAGCUCACUACACGAUCAUUGACACUGAGGCACGAAAGCGUGGGGAGCAAACAGG